rnacentral:rRNA from 1 species
UACGUAGGGGGCAAGCGUUGUCCGGAUUUAUUGGGCGUAAAGCGCGUGUAGGCGGCCACGCAGGUCCGCUGUGAAAACUCGAGGCUCAACCUCGAGCUGUCGGUGGAAACCGCGUGGCUAGAGUCCGGAAGAGGGGACUGGAAUUCCCGGUGUAGCGGUGGAAUGCGCAGAUAUCGGGAGGAACAUCCGUGGCGAAGGCGGGUCCCUGGGACGGUACUGACGCUGAGACGCGAAAGCGUGGGGAGCGAACAGG